GUCAUUAUUCGAUUCCGCUGUUGUUAACUUCUACUUCAGAAAAAUAAAAGGUAGGUAUAUUAAAUGGGUACCUAAUGUACUUACCUAUACAAUAAUGUUUUACAACGGACGAUCACGUUAACCAGGCGGCUUGUGAGAUUUGCAAAUGCAGUGUGGUAAAUAUUUCGGAGAUGGGAUUACAUGGACAGGGCAUGUAUAAUAUACCUAUACCUAUAAUCAAAUACAUACAAAAUGAAGACACGGAGCUGUUAUUAUAAUUUGUUGAUUUCAUUGACUUCAGUUUUCAGUAUGAUUUUACAAAUUUGAACACAUGUUAAUACUUAUACAUAUUUUUCUGAAACCGAUCAAUACUAUAUUUUAAACGAAACUAAUUGUUUUAAUUUUUUGAAAUUAUGAUAUUUGUAUGAUAAACUAAUUAUAUUUUUAUUGUAGACGAAAGAGCGCUUCCGGCAAGCCACUACUGACGUUACGAUGUAAAUCCGGUGAUUGCAAAAUUGCGGCCAUCGCGAACGAAAUUAUAACCGAAGUUUGUGAUGGUCACGCUCGUGGCAAAUGUGAGUGCUGGCGUGCAAACAAGAACAGACGAUUGUGCAUUGUGAUUUCUAAGAAAAUGUAUAAUUUUCGUAAAUUUAUUGAAAUAACAUGAAUAGAAAUAUAGCAUACAAAAUAAUUUGUACUCUGGAAAAGCACAUAACUUAAUUACUAUUUGUACACAAAGUAUAAAAAAUAUACGUAAUACUUACACC
rnacentral:lncRNA from 1 species